AACCCCCCCGACCAUCCGAGCUUCCGGACUUCUUCGACAAUGAGCUUCUCCAUCCAUCUACCGUGCCGUUUUAAAGGCUCUCUAGGCCUCACUGUCAGCCGACCUUCUACAGUGAUCAACUAUUCUCCGAACUCCUUCCGGACUUCAUCAAUAUCCGAGCUUCUUCGACAACGAGAUUUCUAUAGAGAUCGGACUCCAUCCAAGUUUCUACGAGCGGUCUACUCCGAACUCCUACAGUGGGUAGUCUACUCUGAACUCCUACAGCGAGCGGUCUACUCCGAACUCCUACAGCGGGCG
rnacentral:lncRNA from 1 species